CCUACGGGUGGCAGCAGUGAGGAAUAUUGGUCAAUGGCCGGAAGGCUGAACCAGCCAUGCCGCGUGAAGGUCAGUGCCCUAUGGGCGUUAAACUUCUUUUGUGCGGGAGCAAUAAUGGUCACGUGUGGCCAGACGAGAGUACCGUACGAAUAAGCAUCGGGUAACCUCGUGCCAGAAGCCGCGGUAAUACGGGGGGUGCAAGCGUUAUACGGGUUUAUUGGGUUUAAAGGGGGGGUAGGGUGGGAGGUAAGUCAGCGGUGAAAUGCCCCCGCUCAACGGGGUGAAGUGCCAUUGAUACUGGCUUGCUGGAAUGCGGAUGCGGUGGGAGGAAUGUGUGGUGUAGCGGUGAAAUGCAUAGAUAUCACACAGAACACCGAUUGCGAAGGCAUCUCACGAAUCCGCGAUUGACGCUGAUGCACGAAAGCGUGGGUAUCAAACAGGAUUAGAUACCCUUGUAGUC
rnacentral:rRNA from 1 species